rnacentral:tRNA from 1 species
UCUAAUAUGGCAGAUUAGUGCAAUGAAUUUAAGCUUCAUAUAUAAAGUUUUGACUUUUAUUAGAA